UUAAUGUUUUCCUUCAGAUUCUGAUUUUGUUGCAUCAGAUUUAGAGUCAUCCCAGGUGGCCAUGAGUCCCUUCUUAAUUUAAAGAUUUUUUUAUUGAAUCCUUCUUUUUUGGAACUGUCUUUCUUGAGCUUUGGGCAUUCGUUUCUAUAAUGUCACGGUUCUUUACAUUCAUAGCAUGUUACCUCUUUAUUCAAUUUUCU
rnacentral:lncRNA from 1 species